UCUCUUCAGGAGUUCGCUUAGCCGUAGGCAGCUGUCAGUUACUUGUUUCUUGUUGGCAUCUAAGACAGCAGACCCCCUGCUGAGUUUGUGACAGACCCCUCCUGGUUUGUGGAGCCUGUUUGGGAAGACAAGCUGUCAUCUAAAUUGUGCUAUCUGAAAUUUAAGGAGUGAAGAGAAAGGAAAGAGAGAGAAAAUGAACUACAUUCUGCCGCCUAUCCCAAAGAAAUGCAACACAAUCUGAUUUCACCUCUUUCUCUCUAGGCUGAAUGUGUUCAUUUUUGCUUACAAAGGAAAGACACAAAAGAACUGUAAGAAAAGGAUUCAGAUGGUGCCGCCUGAUACACUUUUGCAGCUAAAAUGUGAAAACAAAACCCAGCUUCUGUUGACAGCCUUUGGGUUUGAAAGUGACUGUGACACACAUACAGACCAAGGCUAAACAUGGGGAUAGGUUAUAUCCAAUGCUGUGGAAACUCAUCCUCCCCUGCCUCCCUGCCUAUCAUGUGUAGCGCUUCCUGGUGGAGUAUUAAAGUCCAUAAUCAAUUGGAGUGGAGUGGAAAAAGCAGAUCAGAGACAAGAAGUUUGCCCUGAAGUUCAGGAGAGGAUAAGUAAUUACAGUGAUUCAAGAACUCUUUUUUCACAGAUAGUGGUUUGAACAUAAAUCUCAAAAGCACUUCUCUGACUUUUAUUAUCAUGGGUAUUAUGUUUUCUUUAUUUCUUUUAAUAUGUCCAUAUGAUGGUCGUACAAUGUGUCUUUUUGUCCGCCUGUCCCCUUUUAUUCUCUUCAUUUGUUCAUUUGAUGCAGUUCACCAUUCAUGACUUAUCAGCAACUGAUGGCACUUUAAUUACAGGGUCUAUAUUAUUAUUGCUGGAUUUUUAAAGAAAAUAUAAUAAAUUAUUUUCAAUAGAAAACACUGGAAAUAAUAAUUCUGUUUCCAUCAGCUAGAGAGGAAGCUGCACAUACUUAAUGGGAAAGAGAAUACUGAUAUAUAUUUAAUAAUGCGGAUACAAUGGUACUUAGUAUUUCCAUCUUAGGAUGUCAGUGAUUUUACAAACAUUAAUAAAACUCCUUUUCUCUGCUCUCUUUUAUCUGCCUGUCAAGGAGGCUAUGGGAUCACAAUUUAGGGAGGGGGAUAGAAAGCCGUGUAGCACUUGUCCCUUCAUCUCCUGCUUGUUGGCUUCCCAGAAUCAUCCUGUUGAAAACAGGAUGAUUAACUUUGGUGUGGUGGGCCUUUGGUCUGAUCCAGCAGGUCAGAUUGCCAAUUCUAAGUGAAGCUAUUCCUAAAGAUUUCCCCUUGCAAUAUUUUCCCAAUGUUUUCCACAAAAUUAGAUUAAAAUCUCCAGGAUUGCUUUCAGUGGUCUCCUAGGGAUGUGUGAAUUGGCUUGAGGUGGAGUAGGUUUGCCAUCGAACCAGGGCUCACUGCCGGGUCUGGGGCUGCUGCUGCAGCCACAGGAACAGUCUCUGCCAUCUGUACCUCCCCCCCCACCAGCCUUCUCUCGCAGUUCAGAGGGCCAUUUUGGCCCCUUUUCAGACUGUUCCAGCCCUUUCUCCAGUGU